GUGAAUCAUCAAAUUUUUGAACGCAAAUUGCACUCUCCGGUUUUCCGGGAAAGUAUGCCUGUUUGCGGGCCUGUUUAAAAAAUAAUCGAGGCUGCUGCUGUGGUGGCCCUUCGGAAUUGGGUCAUAUUUCACCUUUCGGUUGUAAGCGACCUAAAAUUUUUUUACGAUUUCUACGAACGCGUCUAAGAAUUUCUUGUACGUUCACGACAUCGAAAUCAUAUUAGGGGUGACCGCCGGGUCGGGGUCGCGCCCAUCAUAUGUCAUCUAAGGAACC
rnacentral:misc_RNA from 1 species